CACGUAGGGCGCAAGCGUUGUCCGGAAUUAUUGGGCGUAAAGAGCUCGUAGGCGGUCUGUUACGUCUGCUGUGAAAACCCGGGGCUUAACCCGUGGCUGCGUGAUACGGGCAGACUAGAGGCAGGUAGGGGAGAAUGGAAUUCCCGGUGUAGCGGUGAAAUGCGCAGAUAUCGGGAGGAACACCGGUGGCGAAGGCGGUUCUCUGGGCCUGACCUGACGCUGAGGAGCGAAAGCGUGGGGAGCGAACAGGAUUAGAACCCUACCGACGAGACC
rnacentral:rRNA from 1 species